rnacentral:rRNA from 1 species
UACCUACGGGACGCAGCAGUGGGGGAUAUUGCACAAUGGGGGAAACCCUGAUGCAGCGACGCCGCGUGGGCGAAGAAGUAUUUCGGUAUGUAAAGCCCUAUCAGCAGGGAAGAAGAAAUGACGGUACCUGAGUAAGAAGCACCGGCUAAAUACGUGCCAGCAGCCGCGGUAAUACGUAUGGUGCAAGCGUUAUCCGGAUUUACUGGGUGUAAAGGGAGCGCAGGCGGCACGGCAAGCCUGAUGUGAAAGCCCGCGGCUCAACCGCGGGACUGCUUUGGUCACUCCCG